GUGGUUAGCGCGCCUGCC
rnacentral:miRNA from 1 species